rnacentral:rRNA from 1 species
GCUUGCAAACUUUAGAUGGCGACCGGCGCACGGGUGAGUAACACGUAUCCAAACCUGCCGAUAACUCGGGGAUAGCCUUUCGAAAGAAAGAUUAAUACCCGAUGGUAUAUUUUCACCGCAUGGUGAAACUAUUAAAGAAUUUCGGUUAUCGAUGGGGAUGCGUUCCAUUAGGCAGUUGGUGAGGUAACGGCUCACCAAACCUUCGAUGGAUAGGGGUUCUGAGAGGAAGGUCCCCCACAUUGGAACUGAGACACGGUCCAAACUCCUACGGGAGGCAGCAGUGAGGAAUAUUGGUCAAUGGGCGCGAGCCUGAACCAGCCAAGUAGCGUGAAGGAUGACGGCCCUAUGGGUUGUAAACUUCUUUUAUAUGGGAAUAAAGUUUGGUAUGCAUACCAUUUUGUAUGUACCAUAUGAAUAAGGAUCGGCUAACUCCGUGCCAGCAGCCGCGGUAAUACGGAGGAUCCGAGCGUUAUCCGGAUUUAUUGGGUUUAAAGGGAGCGUAGGUGGAUUGUUAAGUCAGUUGUGAAAGUUUGCGGCUCAACCGUAAAAUUGCAGUUGAAACUGGCAGUCUUGAGUACAGUAGAGGUGGGCGGAAUUCGUGGUGUAGCGGUGAAAUGCUUAGAUAUCACGAAGAACUCCGAUUGCGAAGGCAGCUCACUGGACUGUUGACUGACACUGAGGCUCGAA